GUGCUCGCUUCAGCAGCACACGUACUAAAAUUGGAACAAUACAGAGAAGAUGAGCAUGGGUCCUGUGCAAGGACGGUAUGCAUGAAGCGUUCCAUAUUUUU
rnacentral:snRNA from 1 species